rnacentral:rRNA from 1 species
CGUAAAGCGAAACUGCGAAUGGCUCAUUAAAUCAGUCUUGGUUUAUUUGGUCUCGAGAGCGAAAGUGGAUAACUGUGGCAAUUCCAGAGCUAAUACAUGCAAUUAGCGCCGACUUCGGGAGGCGUGCUUUUAUUGGAUCAAAACCGACCGGGUUCGCCCGUCUCUUUUGAUGACUCUGGAUAACCACGCGGAUCGCGCGGUCUUGUGCCGGCGACAAACCAUUCAAGUGUCUGACCUAUCAACUUUCGAAGGUAAGCUACGGGCUUACCUUUGUGAUAACGGGUGACGGGGAAUCAGGGUUCGAUUCCGGAGAGGGAGCCUGAGAAACGGCUACCACAUCCAAGGAAGGCAGCAGGCGCGCAAAUUACCCAUUCCCGACACGGGGAGGUAGUGACGAAAAAUAACAAUACAGGACUCUAACGAGGCCCUGUAAUUGGAAUGAGUACAUUCUAAAACUCUUAACGAGUAUCCAUUGGAGGGCAAGUCUGGUGCCAGCAGCCGCGGUAAUUCCAGCUCCAACAGUGUAUGCUAAAGUUGUUGCGGUUGAAAAGCUCGUAGUUGGAUAUUGGGCGAGCGCGGUCGGUCCGUCGCAGGGCGUGCACUGGUCGCGUUCGCCUCGACUUCGGUUCUCCGUCGGUGCUCUUGACUGAGUGUCGGCGGUGGCCGAGAAGUUUACUUUGAAAAAAUUAGAGUGUUCAAAGCAGGCUGGUCGCCUGUAUAGUGUUGCAUGGAAUAAUGGAAUAGGACCUCGGUUCU